UACGAAGGGGGCUAGCGUUGUUCGGAAUUACUGGGCGUAAAGCGCACGUAGGCGGAUACUUAAGUCAGGGGUGAAAUCCCGGGGCUCAACCCCGGAACUGCCUUUGAUACUGGGUAUCUGGAGUCCGGAAGAGGUGAGUGGAAUUCCGAGUGUAGAGGUGAAAUUCGUAGAUAUUCGGAGGAACACCAGUGGCGAAGGCGGCUUACUGGUCCGGUUCUGACGGCUGAGGCGCGAAAGCGUGGGGAGCAAACAGG
rnacentral:rRNA from 1 species